rnacentral:misc_RNA from 1 species
CAAAUGGGUUGUUUAAAAUUUGAAAUAUAAUCAGGUGGGGUAAAGUGGUUCUAUGUGUGUAAAAUAUUAUGAUAUGUAAUUUUAUUAUCGAAGUUGUUGUUAGUAACAUUAUAGACCUAUUAGUUUUAUCAGACCUAACUAUUUUCGUGUUAAUAAUUCUUUAGAACUAAACACUUAUGUUUGAAGUUUAUAUCUUUGAAAUUUAUAUUAGGAAACGUGUUUAUUUAUUUGUAUGAAACAAUAUAUUCACCUAGGUCAAAUAAAAUAUUAUAUAAGUAUAAUUUUUUUUGUGAUAUGUUAUGAAUAAUGCUAGUUUAUUUCUUUAAAAUUGAACAGAUUUUUCAUAAAUAUUGCUUUAGAAAAAACGCCAAGAUGUUACAAUAAAAAAAUAAAACCCAAGCUGAUAGUUUGGAAAAAGCAAUUAUGUUAGUAUGUGAAGAAAAAAAGACAAUUUAUCAUGCUGCUAAAAAAUGUUCUGUUCCUAAAGAAACAUCGAGGAGAAGAAUAAAACAAAAAGAAUUAAAUGCAAACAAACGUGAAGGUCGAAAAAGUGUGCUGAGUGAUAAUGGUGAAAUUAUGAUUGUAGCUGCAGCUCAGUAUUGUCAAAGAUAUGGUCUUCCAUUAGAUUCUUUUGACAUUUGUAAUUUAGUUACUCAAUUUUGCACUGCCAUGAGGAUAAAAACUCCUUUUAAAAAUGGAAUUCCUGGGAAAGAUUGAAUAAUUUCUUUUAGGAAGCGUCAUGUUGAUAAACUUUACGUAAACCUGAAAUACUUACAUUUUCAAGAGCUAAAAGUUUAACACGUAAAGUUAUAGAUAAUUUUUUUACUAUUUUAUCUGAUGUAAUCCAUAAUAAUAACAUUGUACCAAGUAGUAUAUACAACCUUGAUGAGACUGGGCUCUCCACAAACCACUUAACGAAGACAGUAUUUGUACAUCCAAAAAGCAAAGAUGCUUAUGAACUUGCUGCUUCUUCUGGUAAAGCUAUCUUUUCUGUGCUGUUCUGUGUGUCUGCAGAUGGAAGAUAUUUUCCACCAUUUGUUGUUUUUAAGGGAGAUGGCUAUCUGUAUUCUAAAUGGAUAGAAAAAGGACCACAAGGAUGUGCUUUUGGUGCAACAGCAAGUGGAUGGAUGCAAGACUUUCUAUUUGAAAACUGAGAUGCAAAAUGUUAUUCUCACCGAGCUUGCAGAAAUAAAAGUUUUUUUAAAAGAAGUUAUAGAAAUUAAGUAUCAGGCUACUGGGGUGAAGUUGCUAGAAUCAGUGGACGAAGUGGUUACACUGGAUAAUAAACUAAAAGAUAAAACCGAGUAUACUCAUUUGCUUGAUAGUUUGAAAAAGAUUGGUGGUGGAAAGCCAAGAGAACAUGUUUUUUUGAUCAUGAAAAGAUAUCGGCGACGUGGAAGAAAAUGUUGACGGCAAUGCAGAAAUAUAGUUUCUUACGUAUAUUUUUGUGAAAUA